ensembl:lncRNA
GAUGUCUUUCUAGUCAAUCAAUGAUGUGAGUUUGGGGUGGGACUACUUCAUUAAUUGACCAAUAGGACAUUAAAAAGGUGCAGUAGAAAUGUCUGGGAACCUUGUUUAGAAUCCAGUUCCAUUUUGUGCCAGAAUUUCACACUGCAUAUUUAAGCAUGAAGAGAAUUCUUGCUGCUUAAUGUUUUGUCUGUGCAUGAGAGCUACAGCAAAAAGAGAGACUAGCAGUAGUGCAGCCCACAUCUGUGCACUGUACUUGAAUGCCAUCAAGUGGCAGCUGGGCCUUUUUUUCCCUUUGUUGUGAUGUCAUUACUCCCAAGCUUUUGUGCAAAUGUUGCAUACUCGCCAUAAGCCACUAACAACCACACAAAUAUGAAAAAUGAGAUAAACAAGAUGCUGCCUCAUGCGCCUUUCAGAAGGGGCUGGGGUAAUUUUAGAAAGAUAAUCUCCCUAAAUAUGAUUAAAGAUUAGGCAGCAAAGAACCAUAUAAACUCUAUGGAAAGUGGAGCUUCCGUAUGAAGUGGGAACAGAAUGAAUGCUGACUUACUGCAAAAUGGAUCUGGAAACUUUUGUACCAGAAUGUUCUUCUCUACACCUUCUUUCACCACCCUCAAGAAUCCAACAGGAAACACCACAUCCAGCCCCUAAAGUAAAUAUAAAAACCACUGGGAAGUAACAUUGUCAAGAUGAAUUAUCAAGAGUUUACACUGUUUCCCGGUGCAUACAAAAUGGCAGAACUGUAUAACGACUCCUGAGCUUUUCAUUAAUUAGACAGUCUCCUCCCUUUCAUCAAGCCUCAUGUUUGCUUGAAUGUGGUCGUGACCAUGAGCAGGGAUAAUCAGAAGGCUGCUGAGUCAAGUGUGUUUUUGUUCACCUGCAGUGGGGAAUCGGAAGGCUGGGGAGUUUAAUUCCACAUGAGAAUCACCUGUGAAGAUGGAAAGCGUAAUUAACUGCCAGAACAACUGCCUUACCUCCUGGUCUGAGGAUCCGACGUCUUGCUCAUCAUGCUGUUCAAGGCCUGAGGAGAGUGGAGACUGUCUGGAGUUUUCACAAGAUCUUAUAGCUAGGUUUACAGCCACUUUAACUGGUUAAAUUGUGCCCCCUUUUUAACCCAAACACAAUAAAUGGGACACCUAAACUAAUAUAGACAGCUCUUGAAGCCCUUGGACUGAUAGACCUUAAUCAGGUCACACGCCAUACUGAAUACUGAAACAAGGCUGUGAGGGAUAGACUAUCAAAACAGUUUAAUGGAGUUUUUGUCUGCUGAAUGUUUUUUUGGAAAGACUUCUGUCAGCUGAAUAAUCGGUAUGUUGUUAAACAAUAGUACUGUACAUUCCACUGAACGCUGUACUUCUAUCUCUCACAACCUCGUUUUCAUUCUUGUCAAAAGUUAAAUAUGGCCGACUAAGAUCUAUUGAGAUCUCAUUUGAAAGAAGAACCUUUGGCAGUUUCUUUGUGACAACUAAAAUUAGGUUUUUCCAUUUGCAUUUAGUAAGUAAGAGAAAUAAAUGCGAUAAUCAAUCUACUGUGGCUCCAAUCAAACUCACCUCUAGUUUGUGAUCACCCUCAAAUGAACCCGAACUGGAGUGUGUUUCCUGUAUAACAUAGUACGAUUCAUCGUUAGAUAGAUUAAUUAGGUAGUCACAACUGUUUCUGAAAAUUUCGUCGCAGAUCUGCCAAUAUAGAACUGUCGUUUAAUGAUGUCUCCCAGGUUAUAGAGUAAUAACUUUUGUUUAAUAAUUGGUUCGAGAGCAAAUUCAUGUCAGAUAGUUGUAUGUAAAUGACAAACAUGGCAUCUUAGUACUACGCUAUUUUGGUUUCAGGAAACACAGAAUCAUUGAACUAUGUUGGUAACAAGUGUGCCACACAUGUCCUGAAAAGUGAAGCCAAAAUAUUUUGAUCGCCAUCUGGAGGUUUGGAUGCAUUAUUGGUCAUAAACCCCACUAAUGGAAUGUGAGCCAAACUUGUUAAUCAAAUUACACUUUUAAAGUGUAAUUUACACAAAGAUGGUUUCCAUCAUUUUAUGUAGUUCUUGACAUGCUAAUGUAUGUCCAAGUGUUCAUUUUUGUAAUAAGCUUUUAGUUAGUUAUUUGAUGCUAUAAAAAUGGGGUGUGGUGUCAUGAUUGUGUGCUUGCGAUUGGGUCUGUGGGAGUUUGGGCGGGACUUUAAUACCCUGGCUCCAACUAAUGAUCACUACUGCACAGAAUCAGGCUCUAAAUGAUGUCAUUUUCGCAAGAUGACAGCAGCCAUACUUAGAUGUAUUGGCUGCACUUUCUAUAGUGGAAGGAAGUGGAGAUGCAUCGUCCUUCUUUUUUUUUUUUUAAGUCUGUGGUUUGAAACAACAAAAAUGUAAUGUACAUAAAGAGGUUAAGAUGCUUCUAGCCAUUAAAAAAAAAAAAAAAAUAACAACCUAAACAUUUCUUCCUCUGGGUUUAGAAAUUUAAAUGCAAAAUUUUAAACUUUGUUACCCACAACCCUUGGCUACAAAAAUACCUUUGGUGAGAAGCUGCAAAUGACAAACUUUAGAAAUACGUAUCUCACAUCUAAGCCAUUUGGAGCAUUUGAAGCAGAAAGAUGGACCUGCUUCAAAGAUUUUUGGACACAGAAGACAUAUGCUUGAAAAGCACAACUGUAUAUCUAGAAGUCUCUCUAAUACCAAAUAUAGUUUCCCUGAUGUGUAAAACUAUAUAGUCAGGCCAGUCAUGCAGAAAUAUGAAACAAAACCAGAUUAAAC